AGUGAACGCUGGCGGUAGGCCUAACACAUGCAAGUCGAACGGCAGCACAGUAAGAGCUUGCUCUUACGGGUGGCGAGUGGCGGACGGGUGAGGAAUACAUCGGAAUCUACUUUUUCGUGGGGGAUAACGUAGGGAAACUUACGCUAAUACCGCAUACGACCUACGGGUGAAAGCAGGGGAUCUUCGGACCUUGCGCGAUGAAUGAGCCGAUGUCGGAUUAGCUAGUUGGCGGGGUAAAGGCCCACCAAGGCAACGAUGCGUAGCCGGUCUGAGAGGAUGAUAGGCGAAACGGGAAAGGAGACACGGGCAAGACGCCCAGGGGAGGCAGCAGUAGGGGAGCGGGCGAAAUGGGCGAAAGUCUGAAGGAGCAAGGCGGCGAGAGGGAAGAGGGGAUUAGGAUAGUAAAACGCUGUGACGAGGGAAGAACAAAAGGCGAAGUAAACAGGCACGGCGGGACGGUACCGAAUCAGAAAGACACGGCUAACUACGUG
rnacentral:rRNA from 1 species